AACGAACGCUGGCGGCAUGCCUAACACAUGCAAGUCGAACGAGACCUUCGGGUCUAGUGGCGCAAGGGUGCGUAACGCGUGGGAACCUGCCCUUAGGUUCGGAAUAACUCCCCGAAAGGGGUGCUAAUAGCGGAUAAUGUCUUCGGACCAAAGAUUUAUCGCCUUUGGAUGGGCCCGCGUUGGAUUAGCUAGUUGGUAGGGUAAAAGCUUACCAAGGCGACGAUCCAUAGCUGGUCUGAGAGGAUGAUCAGCCACACUGGGACUGAGACAGGGCCCAGACUCCUACGGGAGGCAGCAGUGGGGAAUAUUGGACAAUGGGCGAAAGCCUGAUCCAGCAAUGCCGCGUGAGUGAUGAAGGCCUUAGGGUUGUAAAGCGCUUUUACCCGGGAUGAUAAUGACAGUACCGGGAGAAUAAGCUCCGGCUAACUCCGUG
rnacentral:rRNA from 1 species